rnacentral:tRNA from 1 species
GGUCCCAUCGUCUAGCGGUUAGGACGCUGGCCUCUCACGCCGGAAACCGGGGUUCAAACCCCCGUGGGACUACCA